rnacentral:rRNA from 1 species
AGGAUCAUUACCGAAUUGUCAACACGAGUUGUUGCUGGUCCUCAAACGGGGACAUGUGCACGCUCUGUUCACACAUCCACUCACACCUGUGCACCCUCUGUAGUUCUAUGGCCUGGGAGACACUGUCCCCCUUGCUGUGGUUCUAUAUCUUUACACACACACUGUAAUAAAGUCUCAUGGAAUGUAGUCGCGUUUAACGCAAUACAAUACAACUUUCAGCAACGGAUCUCUUGGCUCUCGCAUCGAUGAAGAACGCAGCGAAAUGCGAUAAGUAAUGUGAAUUGCAGAAUUCAGUGAAUCAUCGAAUCUUUGAACGCACCUUGCGCCCUUUGGCUAUUCCGAAGGGCAUGCCUGUUUGAGUAUCAUGAACACAUCAACUCUCAUGGCUUGCCAUGAUGAGCUUGGACUUUGGGGGUCUUGCUGGCCAACGGUCGGCUCCUCUCAAAUGAAUCAGCUUGCCAGUGUUUGGCGGCACCACAGGUGUGAUAACUAUCUACGCUCGUGGUUUCCUGCCAGGCAUCCUUCAGCGAUGGAGGUUCACUGGAGCUCAUAAACGUCUCUCCAUAGCGAGGACAACUUCUUGAACGUUUGAUCUCAAAUCAGGUAGGACUACCCGCUGAACUUAAGCAUAUCAAUAAGCGGAGGAAAAGAAACUAACAAGGAUUCCCCUAGUAACUGCGAGUGAAGCGGGAAGAGCUCAAAUUUAAAAUCUGGCGUGCCUCCGGUCGUCCGAGUUGUAGUCUGGAGAAGCGUUUUCCGUGCUG